rnacentral:rRNA from 1 species
GGCGAACGCUGGCGGCGUGCUUAACACAUGCAAGUCGAACGGAAAGGCCCUGCUUUUGUGGGGUGCUCGAGUGGCGAACGGGUGAGUAACACGUGAGUAACCUGCCCUUGACUUUGGGAUAACUUCAGGAAACUGGGGCUAAUACCGGAUAGGAGCUCCUGCUGCAUGGUGGGGGCUGGAAAGUUUCGGCGGUUGGGGAUGGACUCGCGGCUUAUCAGCUUGUUGGUGGGGUAGUGGCUUACCAAGGCUUUGACGGGUAGCCGGCCUGAGAGGGUGACCGGCCACAUUGGGGCUGAGAUACGGCCCAGACUCCUACGGGAGGCAGCAGUGGGGAAUAUUGCACAAUGGGCGGAAGCCUGAUGCAGCAACGCCGCGUGCGGGAUGACGGCCUUCGGGUUGUAAACCGCUUUCGCCUGUGACGAAGCGUGAGUGACGGUAAUGGGUAAAGAAGCACCGGCUAACUACGUG